AACAAAGUGGCUGAGGAUUAAGCGGUAGAUUGUAAAUCUAUACACAAGUUUAAASUUCUUUGUUG
rnacentral:tRNA from 1 species